rnacentral:tRNA from 1 species
ACCUGGCUGGCUCAGUCAGUAGAGCAUAUGACUCUUGAUCUUGGGCCUGUGAGUUCAAGCCCCACACUGGGUG